GCCGAUGUAGCUCAACGGUAGAGCACGGCUUUCGUAAAGCCGGGGUUGUGGGUUCAAAUCCCACCAUCGGCU
rnacentral:tRNA from 1 species